GACGAACGCUGGCGGCGUGCCUAAUACAUGCAAGUCGAACGCUUUUUCUUUCACCGGAGCUUGCUCCACCGAAAGAAAAGGAGUGGCGAACGGGUGAGUAACACGUGGGUAACCUGCACAUCAGAAGGGGAUAACACUUGGAAACAGGUGCUAAUACCGUAUAACAGUCGAAACCGCAUGGUUUCGAUUUGAAAGGCGCUUUUGCGUCACUGAUGGAUGGACCCGGGGUGCAUUAGCUAGUUGGUGAGGUAACGGCUCACCAAGGCAACGAUGCAUAGCCGACCUGAGAGGGUGAUCGGCCACAUUGGGACUGAGACACGGCCCAAACUCCUACGGGAGGCAGCAGUAGGGAAUCUUCGGCAAUGGACGAAAGUCUGACCGAGCAACGCCGCGUGAGUGAAGAAGGUCUUCGGAUCGUAAAACUCUGUUGUUAGAGAAGAACAAGGAUGAGAGUAAAAAGUUCAUCCCUUGACGGUAUCUAACCAGAAAGCCACGGCUAACUACGUGCCAGCCGCCGCCGUAA
rnacentral:rRNA from 1 species